ACCCGGAUACAGAGUCAUCCUUGCCUUUUCUUUUAAAAUCUCCAUCAACCGUCUACGUCCGUCCGACCAAUAUCACACGGUUGUAAUCCACUGAUCUCCCGAUCCCUUCGCGUCCGGGUCGGUACCGGGGCAGCACACCGUCCGCAUUCAGAAGGAGCAAAAACCCAGCAAGAACCGGAAACGACCUUGCUCCACUCCCCCAGCUGCUGUGCCCUUCUGUUCAAAUUUCUCGCUCCUGACCGGCGAAUCCGUUUUCUUUUCUAAAAGAAGAUGGCGAUCUUCCCGUCACUGCGGCACCUCCGGCGGUCCCUCUCAUCCUCUGUAGCCCGGCGGCUGAGGCGGCUUCCGGCGGCGAGAUCCUUCACCACCACCGAGGGCUCCCGGCCCACCAUCGUGCACAAGCGGAGCCUGGACAUCCUACACGAUCCCUGGUUCAAUAAGGGCACGGCUUUCUCGAUGACGGAGCGGGACCGGCUGGAUCUUCGCGGGCUUCUUCCCCCGAAUGUUAUGACUCGGCAGCAGCAAAUUGAUCGCUUCAUGGUUGACUUGAAAAGACUAGAAGUUCAUGCAAGAGAUGGACCGUCAGACACUAAUGCUUUGGCUAAAUGGCGUAUCCUUAACAGGUUGCAUGACAGAAAUGAGACCAUGUACUACAAGAUCUUAAUUGAAAAUAUCGAGGAAUAUGCACCUAUAGUAUAUACACCCACUGUUGGCCUUGUCUGUCAGAACUAUAGUGGACUGUUUAGACGACCACGGGGAAUGUAUUUCAGUGCAGCAGAUAGGGGGGAGAUGAUGUCGAUGGUUUACAAUUGGCCAGCCGAGCAGGUUGAUAUGAUUGUGGUAACGGAUGGAAGUAGAAUAUUGGGCCUUGGUGAUCUUGGGGUUCAGGGUAUUGGCAUUGCAAUUGGAAAGCUGGAUUUGUAUGUUGCUGCUGCUGGAAUGAAUCCUCAAAGGGUGCUUCCUGUGAUGAUUGAUGUUGGAACUAACAAUGAGAAGCUUCUCAAAGACCCACUGUAUCUAGGACUUCAAGAGCAUCGUCUUGAUGGUGAUGAAUACAUCUCUGUUAUUGAUGAAUUUAUGGAAGCUGUUUUUACACGAUGGCCAAAUGUCAUUGUACAGUUUGAAGAUUUUCAAAGUAAGUGGGCUUUCAAAUUAUUGCAGCGUUACAGAAAUACCUAUCGAAUGUUUAAUGAUGAUGUCCAGGGUACUGCUGGGGUUGCAAUUGCUGGUCUUCUAGGAGCUGUAAGGGCUCAGGGAAGACCAAUGAUAGACUUCCCAAAACAAAAGAUUGUUGUUGCCGGUGCUGGAAGUGCUGGGAUUGGAGUUGUCAAUGCUGCAAGGAAAACUAUGGCAAGAAUGCUGGGUAACAAUGAAGCAGCUUUGGAGAGUGCGAGGAGCCAGUUCUGGGUGGUUGAUGCUACGGGUCUGAUAACACAAGGCCGUGCAAAUAUUGAUCCAGAUGCUUUACCAUUUGCCAGAAAGCUAAAGGAAGUGAGCCAUCAAGGUCUAACUGAAGGAGCAAGCCUAGUUGAAGUGGUUAACAAAGUAAAGCCUGAUGUUCUACUUGGAUUAUCUGCAGUUGGCGGUUUGUUCUCCAAAGAGGUUUUAGAAGCCCUGAAGGAUUCAUCUUCCAGUAGACCAGCAAUCUUCGCUAUGUCAAAUCCUACAAAAAAUGCUGAAUGCGCACCUGAGGAAGCCUUUUCCGUGCUGGGUGAGCAUAUCAUAUUCGCUAGUGGAAGCCCGUUUCAUGAUGUUGAUCUUGGAGAUGGUAAAAUUGGGCACUCUAACCAGGGAAAUAACAUGUAUCUGUUUCCUGGCAUAGGUCUUGGUACCCUUUUGUCUGGUGCACGUGUUAUCUCUGAUGGUAUGCUUCAGGCUGCAGCUGAAUGUUUGGCUGCAUAUAUGAAAGAAGAGGAGGUUCUUAAGGGGAUCAUAUACCCUUCAAUAUCCAGCAUAAGGGACAUAACAAAGGAGGUAGCUGCAGCUGUGGUGAGGGAAGCUGUAGCAGAAGAUCUAGCGGAGGGAUACCGUGACAUGGAUGCUCGGGAGCUUCAAAGACUUAGUCAGGAGGAAACUGUGACAUAUGUAGAGAACAACAUGUGGAGUCCAGAGUAUCCAACCCUGGUUUACAGAAAGGACUGAAGCACCAUCCAUCUUGCCAGGUUAUUUUUUAUAAUUAGAUGCGACAGGCAAGUGUAUGAGCAUCACACACAGAAAUAGGAGCCCUAUUGUAUGAUCUGAAGUGCCCUCAUGGCUUCUCAAUAGGUAUAUCAGAGUUGCAGUAUCCUUUGUUAUUGGUGUUCACUGGGCUUGCAUGCCUAUUUGUGGGCAUAUAACAGGAUUCUAGGUUUUCAAAAAGGUCUUUUUUUCAGUAUCAUAUGCUUCCAACAUAAACGGGUUGAUUGAGCCAACAGACGUGUGAAGAAUGAUACUUAUGAUUUCUAUGUCCCCUCAACCUCUGUUUUCAGCAAUGAGAGAUGUGAUAAUAAAAAUAUUUUGAAAUCCGAUUUUUUGCCCUUUACUUACUCUCUAGCACCCCGAAAUUUGAGUUGGUAAACUCAUUCAGUUAGCUUAUUGAUUUUUGUACUUUAGAUCUUUGCCACGUGCGAGUUAUUUUUGGUUUUAUAGGCUUGCAUAAACAUUGAACAAACCUAUAUUUUUUCUAAUUCUGAACAAAGAAGUUAUGUACUCUUUUCUUGAAUUUGUGGGCAAAUAAAUUAUUAUGA